UACGUAGGGUGCGAGCGUUGUCCGGAAUUAUUGGGCGUAAAGAGCUCGUAGGCGGUUUGUCGCGUCGACUGUGAAAACCCGAGGCUUAACCUCGGGCCUGCAGUCGAUACGGGCAGACUAGAGUUCGGUAGGGGAGACUGGAAUUCCUGGUGUAGCGGUGAAAUGCGCAGAUAUCAGGAGGAACACCGGUGGCGAAGGCGGGUCUCUGGGCCGAUACUGACGCUGAGGAGCGAAAGCGUGGGGAGCGAACGGG
rnacentral:rRNA from 1 species